ACGCGAAGAACCUUACCUAGACUUGACAUCUCCUGCAUUACCCUUAAUCGGGGAAGUUCCUUCGGGGACAGGAAGACAGGUGGUGCAUGGUUGUCGUCAGCUCGUGUCGUGAGAUGUUGGGUUAAGUCCCGCAACGAGCGCAACCCCUGUCGUUAGUUGCCAGCAUUCAGUUGGGGACUCUAACGAGACUGCCAGUGACAAACUGGAGGAAGGUGGGGAUGAC
rnacentral:rRNA from 1 species